GUCCAUGCCGUAAACGAUGAAUGCUAAGUGUUGGAGGGUUUCCGCCCUUCAGUGCUGCAGCUAACGCAUUAAGCAUUACGCCUGGGGAGUACGACCGCAAGGUUGAAACUCAAAGGAAUUGACGGGGGGCCCGCACAAGCGGUGGAGCAUGUGGUUUAAUUCGAAGCUACGCGAAGAACCUUACCAGGUCUUGACAUCUUCUGCCAACCUAAGAGAUUAGGCGUUCCCUUCGGGGACAGAAUGACAGGUGGUGCAUGGUUGUCGU
rnacentral:rRNA from 1 species